GGUAUCGAAAAACAACCGUUUCAGCUUCCUGAUUUCAUUGCUGCAACUGGUAUUGAGAAAAUUAGACAAGUAAAUUGGUCAUGAGGUUUUUUAUUUGGAUUAUUCUUUGAGCACCGCACAUAAGUGCUCCUCUUACUAUCAAUGAGAACUCUGACUCUUAUGUUCGUACUGAUACAGAGAUGUUCCUCAAUAGGAUAGUUCCUGAGGGGGAAUCUGCAUUAUGGAGACUUGCCUGGCACACAUUAAAUCAUCAAUGAGGAUCACUAUGGGGCACUCAUCCACCACCUCUCUUUAGUUCGCAACAAACGCUGAAGUUGAUGAACUGCAUAAUGAACUCGCAAAUUAUGAGGUGAAGAACCUGCUAAAGUUGGGAAGUGUGCUGGGAUGAAUCAUUGUUGGUCUUUUUUGGGUAUAUGCAAGGUCUGAAGUGCAUUAGGCAAGAUGUUGGUCCUUUUUGGGUUGGCAUGAAUUUCAUUUCUUCUAUAGAUGUGAUCAUGUACGGAUGAGACUAUUUUAGCCACAGUUGUAGAUGUUUUUUUUUGGUAUGAGAGAUCCGUAGAUGUGAUCUUUUCUAUUCUUUGGAUACAAUUAGCAUUAUAGGAUCCAUUUAUGGGAUUAUAACAGCUAUUUAUUAUAAGAAAAUUAUUGUUCA